rnacentral:lncRNA from 1 species
UUACAAACCCUUACUUCUGCUGAGACUCUUGGGUUUGGUCCAGUCGAAUUGAGGGGACUCAAACUGGUAAGUUUGCAAUAGAGAUUGUUUGGAAUCAUGUCAAUGGAACCAUUAAAAUAUAACUCAGAGGGUUCAACUUUUACAGGAAAAUAGAGUAUUUUGCUGGAAUACUUUCAUGAUCUCCAUGGCAUUUUUCCUCAGGAACUGCGGUGGGUGGCUUCUAAUAUUGCUGUGGAUGAAGGCACACUCUACACAUAACUGAAGGCCUGCAUUUUUAGAAGGACUGAAGGACAAAGAGUUUAAGAUAACAUCUCUACUCCUGUGAUGUUACUCCUCCCUAACCUUGACUGUGCAGCAUUGAAGGCAAGAUAAAAACUUCAUGGCAUGAAAGGAAAGAAAGCUUAUUGUCCCAACAGUGGCCUGGGACUGAAAUUGCCAACUGAACAACUGUGGACAAGUCAUCUCAUUUUCACUUUGCCUGUUUCCUCCUUUUGAAAAGGCUUUGAAACAAGACCCCGGUGUCACAAAAUAUUUAAGGGUAAGAAGUAACAUGUUAUCACACAUUAAUAUAAAAGCAGGUUGUGUGGUUUUGUCUGCAUUUAAUUUAAUACACA